AGUUUUAUGCAAUGGCAGUAUCGUGGCCAGUGAGGUUUAUCCGAGGCAUGAUUAUUGCUAAUUAAAAAUCUGAAAAAAACCUUGGUCAAGACAGAAGACAGUCAGGGCUUGAACAUGGGUGAUGGUAAUAGGGAUAA